UUUGGAGAUCAUAAAACAACAGAAGAAAAGGUGCCACAAAGGCUGGAAUCGAACGAUCUCUAAAGAAUCAUAGGCUGAGCAGCCCUGCAGGCGGAGACCACCCAGCCUUUAUCAGCUGUCUUCCUCCUGCUGGAUGCUGGGAGGAGUGAGCUUUCAGCCCUGCUUGUUGCACAGACCUACCGGGAAAGUUCUGCCAGAAGGUCUCCUCCUGCUUGGGUAUGCCUGAAACACCUCACCCAACUGUUGUGGCUAGCUGAACUACAGCUAACUUUUCUCAGCCUGUGGACGACAGUGCUGGAGUUUGACCAUUUCCAAAGUCCCUG